AUUAAAACGACAAAACUCCUGUCUUACAGAUGAAGACACUGAGGUUCAGAGAGGCUCAGAGACUGUGCGGUGCCACAAAUCCAGAGCGUCUCAGCGCCGGGGUUCAAGAAAGAUACUGGACACGUGUGCCAAAGCCCCCGCCGGACAUGAGGUGCUGUUCUUGCCUGCUUUGGGGAGCAAAAUCCCGCUACCCCUAUGAAAGGAGUUGGGGAGCCCUUCCUCCAGCCCCAUCCCAGGAAAUUUCUAUGGACCAAUUUGUUCCUGAUGAGGAUUAAGUGUUCCUUGGAGGUUUCGUAAAACCUGUCUUGAGAGCCCAGAAAUCCCUGGGGAACCUCAACGUCAUAGACCGGAAGCCUACUCGCUGCCCAUCUCCAACCAAGCAGAGGAGACAGAGGAGGCAGCUGUCAUCGAGCUGUCACAGCUCCAGAA